AACCGCUAAUGUCAGUUAGGCGUAUGGUCAAUUUAGCUUCAACAAAAAGUAAAACUUAAAGUUAAGUGACUGGACAGUAACUACAUUAAGCUAACGCUAGCUUGCCAGGAGAUGUGAGGAGAGUGUACAACGUUGGAGAAGCAGAGGGAGGCGUGGCAGUCAGGUUAUUAUUGUCUGUGGAAGGUCUGCUGAAGGUCAAAGCAUGGCUGAGCAACAGAUCUCCUCUCCCUCUUUCUCUACCUCUUUCUCUCCCCUCCCCCACAUCAGAGAAAAGUCAUUCAGUCUCAUGCGUCUCUGCCGACGGACUGGGGUCCCCUCCUGACUUCUAUCAAAUGGCUGAGCUUCUGCCAAUGAACAGGACACCGCUUGGAUCAAUUCACCUUCUACCCUUCAUCUGUACAACUCAGGCGGUAACCAGUGAAGAGGAGGAGCCUCGUCAUCAAGCAGUGUACAUAAUCUGGUAUAUUUUAGAGGUGCUCAGACACCCAAGUGCCAUUUAUCAAAUAAAAACAUUGGAGAAUAUAGUAGUAGACUUCUCAGAAUAUGAAGCACAAA